AAAGUUUAACUACAUUAUAUAAGUAUAUUGUAAUCAAGUCAUAAAUAAAGUCAUCCAACAAAAGCUAGCUGCCAAUCAAAUAUGUACAACAAAAAGAUAUCAACUACCUACCCUUCAAAGGUUUGCCUGGGCGAUAGAUGGUUACAUGUAGGAAGAGGAAGAGGUGGGUUUACCGAGAAAAAGAUGGGGAAAAAAAAAACCAACAAAUUUAGCCUCAAUCAAGUUGAAGAUAAUUGGGAAAAAAAUUUCCAUGAAAAAAAUAAAACUAAGGUCAAUCUUUCAUGGAAACGGGUUAAGUGUUGGUCUCUUUUAACCGAUGUAGACACAUUAGAGCCAACUAUGUUAUUAUUAACCUCGAGACCAACACUGAA
rnacentral:lncRNA from 1 species